rnacentral:lncRNA from 1 species
AUACUGUCUCCAGCAUCCUUGGACUUGUGAGACUCUGCAUCUUAAGGAGUUUGGCUUCCUACCUCGCUUGCCAUUUAUGAAUUCCCACAGCAGUCCUGAUGGAGUUCUGGUGGAGUGAUCGGGUGAGCAAGGCAUAGGCAGCCCAGCUACCUCAUGCCACACACUCUUCAGAGAGAAGGAAGUGGGCACAGAGGUCUGCCCAUGAAGAGAUCCCACCCAUGGAUUGGACACUGUCAAAGUGGGGAGGUUUGGAAAAAAAUCAGAUGUGGAAAUAUAAACAGCCAGCAUCCCAAAUUCCCUCUGUGUUGUGCACUUCUCCUCUCAUGUGCUCUCUUAAAAAGACUCUCAAACACCAUCUGCUCAAGGACAUUCAAGGUCAAACAGAAUGAAUGUGCUUCUGCUCAAUGUGGCUCCAUCACCUUUGUCUCUCCCCGACGUAGGCUGGAUUCUGAGUCACUGUGUGGACGCAACUGUCAGUUAGCAAAAUCAACUUCGCAAAGGACUUUCUGUAAGGAACCCAACCUCAGCAGACGAGAACUGUCUCUGACCAGGGAAAGCAGGGAAUCACUUCCGCUCAUGGGCGGCGCUCCAAGAGGAAGUCGAGUGCAUAACGGACGGCCGAGUUUCCCUGUUCCAGUCUUGAGACGAAGCAAGCGCUUUGUCAAG